rnacentral:rRNA from 1 species
GAUGAACGCUAGCGGCAGGCCUAAUACAUGCAAGUCGAACGGUGUCUUCGGACAUAGUGGCGCACGGGUGCGUAACACGUAUGCAACCUACCUUACAUUGGGGGAUAGCCUUUCGAAAGGGAGAUUAAUACCGCAUAAGACAGUAGCUGGGCAUCCAGCAGCUGUUAAAGAUUUAUCGAUGUAAGCUGGGCAUGCGUCCAAUUAGCUAGUUGGUGAGGUAACGGCUCACCAAGGCAAUGAUUGGUGGGGGAACUGAGAAGUCAAUCCCCCACGCGGCCACUGGGAUACGGGCCAGAGUCCUCCGGGAGGCAGCAGUAGGGAAUAUUGGUCAAUGCACGCAAGUCUCACCCAGCCAUGCCGCGUGCAGGAUGAAGGCGUUAUGCGUUGUAAACUGCUUUUAUACAGGAAGAAACGACUCUUGCGAGAGGCAUUGACGGUACUGUAUGAAUAAGCACCGGCUAACUCCGUGCCAGCAGCCGCGGUAAUAC